UGGGGAAUUGUUCACAAUGGGCGCAAGCCUGAUGACGCAACGCCGCGUGGGGGAUGAAGGUCUUCGGAUCGUAAACCCCUGUCGAAUGGGACGAAAGACUCGCGAGUGAAUACUUCGCGAGAGUGACGGUACCGUUAAAGGAAGCACCGGCUAACUCUGUGCCAGCAGCCGCGGUAAUACAGAGGGUGCGAGCGUUAAUCGGAAUUACUGGGCGUAAAGCGCACGUAGGUGGCGACGUAAGUCGGGUGUGAAAGCCCCGGGCUCAACCUGGGAACCGCAUUCGAGACUGCAUUGCUGGAGUACGGAAGAGGAGGGCGGAAUUCCCGGUGUAGCGGUGAAAUGCGUAGAUAUCGGGAGGAACAUCAGUGGCGAAGGCGGCCCUCUGGUCCAGUACUGACACUCAAGUGCGAAAGCGUGGGGAGCAAACAGGAUUAGAUACCCAGGUAGUCCCUGAGCGGGCUGGCAAGGCGCAU
rnacentral:rRNA from 1 species